rnacentral:rRNA from 1 species
UAACCUGCCCAAGAGAUCGGGAUAACACCUGGAAACAGAUGCUAAUACCGGAUAACAACAGAUGAUGCCUAUCAACUGUUUAAAAGAUGGUUCUGCUAUCACUCUUGGAUGGACCUGCGGUGCAUUAGCUAGUUGGUAGGGUAACGGCCUACCAAGGCGAUGAUGCAUAGCCGAGUUGAGAGACUGAUCGGCCACAUUGGGACUGAGCACGGCCCAAACUCCUACGGGAGGCAGCAGUG